GAUGAACGCUGGCGGCGUGCCUAAUACAUGCAAGUCGAGCGAAUGGAUUAAGAGCUUGCUCUUAUGAAGUUAGCGGCGGACGGGUGAGUAACACGUGGGUAACCUGCCCAUAAGACUGGGAUAACUCCGGGAAACCGGGGCUAAUACCGGAUAACAUUUUGAACCGCAUGGUUCGAAAUUGAAAGGCGGCUUCGGCUGUCACUUAUGGAUGGACCCGCGUCGCAUUAGCUAGUUGGUGGGGUAACGGCUCACCAAGGCAACGAUGCGUAGCCGACCUGAGAGGGUGAUCGGCCACACUGGGACUGAGACACGGCCCAGACUCCUACGGGAGGCAGCAGUAGGGAAUCUUCCGCAAUGGACGAAUGUCUGACGGAGCAACGCCGCGUGAGUGAUGAAGGCUUUCGGGUCGUAAAACUCUGUUGUUAGGGAAGAACAAGUGCUAGUUGAAUAAGCUGGCACCUUGACGGUACCUAACCAGAAAGCCACGGCUAACUACGUGCCAGCCGCCGCCGUAA
rnacentral:rRNA from 1 species